UACUGAUCCUGAGAAUUGUCAUAAUAAAAUGUCCUAAAUGAGGGCAUAUAUACAUACUGAUGUGUGGCACACAAAACAGAACUCUGUUAAUCUAUAAGAAAAAAUCAAGCAUGUCAUGGAAUAUUCACAAAAAAUAUAUAUAUUUUUACAAAUUUCAAGACUUAUUUUUACUACCUUACAAUAGAAUCUGCAGAUGCACAAA
rnacentral:misc_RNA from 1 species